rnacentral:rRNA from 1 species
GACAGAGGGUGCGAACGUUGUUCGGAAUUACUGGACGUAAAGCGCAUGUAGGCGGCAGCGCAAGUCGGGCGUGAAAUCCCACGGCUCAACCGUGGAAGUGCACUCGAAACUGCGCAGCUAGAGUCCUGGAGAGGAAGGUGGAAUGCUUGGUGUAGAGGUGAAAUUCGUAGAUAUCAAGCGGAACACCGGUGGCGAGGGCGGCCUUCUGGACAGUGACGUGACGCUGAGAUGCGAAAGCGUGGGGAGCAAACAGG